rnacentral:rRNA from 1 species
UACGAGGGGGGCAAGCGUUGUUCGGAAUUAUUGGGCGUAAAGGGCGCGUAGGCGGUGCGGUAAGUCACCUGUGAAACCUCUAGGCUCAACCUAGAGCCUGCAGGCGAAACUGCCGUGCUUGAGGGUGGGAGAGGUGCGUGGAAUUCCCGGUGUAGCGGUGAAAUGCGUAGAUAUUGGGAGGAACACCAGUGGCGAAGGCGGCUACCUGGACCGGUUCUGACGCUGAUGCGCGAAAGCGUGGGUAGCAAACAGG